rnacentral:tRNA from 1 species
GCCUUCGUGGUGUAGAGGUCAGCAGGCUCGCCGCGUAUUCGACAGAUCUGUGGUUCGAAUCCCGGCGAGGGCA